rnacentral:rRNA from 1 species
AUUGAACGCUGGCGGCAGGCCUAAUACAUGCAAGUCGAGCGAGCGGCGGACGGGUGAGUAAUGCAUGGGGAUCUGCCCGAUAGAGCGGGAUAACUACUGGAAACCGUGGCUAAUUCCGCAUACUGUCGGAUCUACCCGAUUGGGAUUAGCUAGUUGGUAAGGUAAUGGCUUACCUAGGCGACGAUCCCUAGCUGGUCUGAGAGGAUGAUCAGCCACACUGGGACUGAGACACGGCCCAGACUCCUACGGGAGGCAGCAGUGGGGAAUAUUGCGCAAUGGGCGAAAGCCUGAUGCAGCCAUGCCGCGUGUGUGAAGAAGGUCCUAGGGUUGUAAAGUACUGUCAGUCGGGAGGCGUUACCGAAAGAGGAAGCACCGGCUAACUCCGUGCCAGCCGCCGCGGUAAUUC